GAAGCCCUCAGGAAGCCCAAGCGGGCCACGCUGCCUGACACUCUGACUGUUGCCCUGUGGACGCAAGUCAGAGGAACCAUCGCUUCAAGCAUGAUGUCCAUACAUAACCAUGUUCAAGGCAGGAAGAAGGAACAGGGACAAAAGGGAUGGGAAGGAGAAUGCAGCCCAUUGACUUUGGAGGCUUUGAAGGACCCCUGACUGCAGCCCUGGACAUGAGUGCCUAGCAAUAAGGAUCAGGCAAGAAGCU